GGCUGUGGACAGGGGUGAAUGACAUCUGGAGUUUUCUCCCAGAGCCUGAAAAAGCAGUGGAGAACCUAGCUACUUAAACUCUGAAAUUUUGUAAACCUCAUUGGCUUUACCUGUGGAGUAGUGUUUUACUUCAUGUGAAGAUCAGAAUUCUAAGAAGGAGGAGUUGCACACUCUGGAUGUUGAUUCACUGAUUACUAGCUACUGGAAAAAUUAAGUCCCAGCAAUGGAGCUUCAAAACCAGCUUGCCUGAGGAUGGAGUAUACUCCCUUCAGAUCCUUAUCUCCCUGGAGAGACUCAAGUCCAUGAACUGUUGUCCAUGAAGGUCCAUUGUAGAGGA